GACGAACGCUGGCGGCGUGGAUUAGGCAUGCAAGUCGAACGGUAUCACCUUUUUCGGGGGUGAGAGAGUGGCGAACUGGUGAGUAACACGUAGGUUAUCUACCCUCAAGACGGGGACAACCCAGGGAAACUUGGGCUAAUACCGGAUGUGAGCAACUUUUAGUUGUUUGAAAGGUGGCGUAAGCUGUCGCUUGGGGAUGAGCCUGCGUCCUAUUAGUUAGUUGGUGAGGUAACGGCUCACCUAGGCAAUGAUAGGUAGGCGGCCUUAACGGGUGGUCGCCCACACUGGUACUGAGACACGGACCAGACUCCUACGGGAGGCAGCAGUGAGGAAUAUUGGUCAAUGGGCGCAAGCCUGAACCAGCCAUCCCGCGUGCAGGAAGACGGCCCUAUGGGUUGUAAACUGCUUUUAGCCGGGAAUAAACACCCGUUUUAUAACGGGCCCGAAGGUACCGGCUGAAUAAGCAUCGGCUAACUCCGUG
rnacentral:rRNA from 1 species